rnacentral:rRNA from 1 species
CUACGGGCGGCAGCAGUGGGGAAUAUUGCACAAUGGGGGAAACCCUGAUGCAGCAACGCCGCGUGGAGGAUGACGCAUUUCGGUGUGUAAACUCCUUUUAUAUCCCAAGAUAAUGACGGUAGGAUAUGAAUAAGCACCGGCUAACUCCGUGCCAGCAGCCGCGGUAAUACGGAGGGUGCAAGCGUUACUCGGAAUCACUGGGCGUAAAGGGCGCGUAGGCGGGUUGUCAAGUCCUGAGUGAAAUCCAACGGCUCAACCGUUGAACUGCUUGAGAAACUGGCAGCCUAGAGUAAGGGAGAGGUAGAUGGAAUUGGUGGUGUAGGGGUAAAAUCCGUAGAGAUCACCAGGAAUACCCAUUGCGAAGGCGAUCUGCUGGAACUUUACUGACGCUGAGGCGCGAAAGCGUGGGGAGCAAACAGGAUUAGAUACCCCGGUAGUC